GGCCUAUACAUGCAGUCGGACGGGAUUCGGAACUUCGGUUUUGAUGAGAGUGGCGCACGGGUGCGUAACGCGUAUGCAACCUACCUAUUACAGGGGGAUAGCCCGGGGAAACUCGGAUUAAUACCCCAUAGUAUAUUUGAAUGGCAUCAUUUAGAUAUUAAAGAUUUAUCGGUAAUAGAUGGGCAUGCGUAGGAUUAGCUAGUUGGUAAGGUAACGGCUUACCAAGGCUACGAUCCUUAGGGGUUCUGAGAGGAAGGUCCCCCACACUGGUACUGAGAUACGGACCAGACUCCUACGGGAGGCAGCAGUAGGGAAUAUUGGGCAAUGGACGGAAGUCUGACCCAGCCAUGCCGCGUGCAGGAAGACGGCCUUAUGGGUUGUAAACUGCUUUUAUCAGGGAAGAAAAAGGCCAUGCGUGGCAAAUUGCCGGUACCUGAUGAAUAAGCACCGGCUAACUCCGUGCCAGCAGCCGCGGUAAUACGGAGGGUGCAAGCGUUGUCCGGAUUUAUUGGGUUUAAAGGGUGCGUAGGCGGGUUAAUAAGUCAGCGGUGAAAGUCCAGUGCUCAACACUGGAAUUGCCAUUGAUACUGUUAAUCUUGAGUGUCGAUGGGGUACAUGGAAUUUAUGGUGUAGCGGUGAAAUGCAUAGAUACCAUAAGGAACACCGAUAGCGAAGGCAUUGUACUUAUCGAUAACUGACGCUGAAGCACGAAAGCGUGGGUAGCGAACAGGAUUAGAUACCCUGGUAGUCC
rnacentral:rRNA from 1 species